rnacentral:rRNA from 1 species
CCGGAAUUAUUGGGUUUAAAGGGUCCGUAGGUGGAUAAUUAAGUCAGAGGUGAAAUCCUGCAGCUUAACUGUAGAAUUGCCUUUGAUACUGGUUAUCUUGAGUUAUUAUGAAGUGAUUAGAAUGUGUAGUGUAGCGGUGAAAUGCAUAGAUAUUACACAGAAUACCAAUUGCGAAGGCAGGUCACUAAUAAUCAACUGACACUGAGGGACGAAAGCGUGGGUAGCGAACAGGAUUAGAUACCCUGGUAGUCCACGCCGUAAACGAUGGUCACUAGCUGUUUGGACUUCGGUCUGAGUGGCUAAGCGAAAGUGAUAAGUGACCCACCUGGGGAGUACGUUCGCAAGAAUGAAACUCAAAGGAAUUGACGGGGGCCCGCACAAGCGGUGGAGCAUGUGGUUUAAUUCGAUGAUACGCGAGGAACCUUACCAGGGCUUAAAUGUUUGGUGACAGAUCUAGAAAUAGGUUUUUCUUCGGACACUAAACAAGGUGCUGCAUGGUUGUCGUCAGCUCGUGCCGUGAGGUGUCAGGUUAAGUCCUAUAACGAGCGCAACCCCUGUUGUUAGUUGCCAGCGAGUAAUGUCGGGAACUCUAACAAGACUGCCAGUGCAAACUGUGAGGAAGGUGGGGAU